GACGAACGCUGGCGGCGUGCUUAACACAUGCAAGUCGAACGGAAAGGCCCUGCUUGCAGGGUACUCGAGUGGCGAACGGGUGAGUAACACGUGGGUGAUCUGCCCUGCACUUCGGGAUAAGCCUGGGAAACUGGGUCUAAUACCGGAUAGGAGCCAUUUUUAGUGUGAUGGUUGGAAAGUUUUUUCGGUGUAGGAUGAGCUCGCGGCCUAUCAGCUUGUUGGUGGGGUAAUGGCCUACCAAGGCGGCGACGGGUAGCCGGCCUGAGAGGGUGGAGGCCACAUUGGGACUGAGAUACGGCCCAGACUCCUACGGGAGGCAGCAGUGGGGAAUAUUGCACAAUGGGCGCAAGCCUGAUGCAGCGACGCCGCGUGGGGGAUGACGGCCUUCGGGUUGUAAAUUCCUUUCGCUAGGGACGAAGCUUUUUGUGACGGUACCUAGAUAAGAAGCACCGGCUAACUACGUG
rnacentral:rRNA from 1 species